GUAGUCCUUCCCUGUAAAAUACAGCACCUUUGAUGUCAUUGUUUAAUUGAACUAAGAUACACAUUUGCAGAAAUGGGGGUUGGCCUAUUCCAUGGCUUCUUGAGAAAAAUAAUGAGGGGUGUCACGGGGUAUGACUAUAUAGGUCUUGUAGAGGAGAAACAGGCGCAUCUUUUGCGCAAGGUAUUGAAGGGCGCUAUGUUCAAAAAUCUGAAACUAGAGCUCAAAAUUUGAAAAAAAAAAAUUGUUAAAAACAGGGGGUUGGCCUAUUCAAUGGUUUCUAGGGAAAAAUAAUGAGGGGUGUCACGGGGUAUGACAAUAUAGGUCUUGUAGAAGAGAAACGGGCGCAUCUUUUGCGCAAGGUAUCGAAGGGCGCUAUGUUCAAAAAUCUGAAACUAGAGCUCAAAAUUUGAAAAAAAAUGUUAAAAACAGGGGGUUGGCCUAUUCAAUGGCUUCUACAGAAAAAUAAUGAGGAGUGUCACGGGGUAUGACAAUAUAGGUCUUGUAGAGGAGAAACAGGCGCAUCUUUUGCGCAAGGUAUUGAAGGGCGCUAUGUUCAAAAAUCUGAAACUAGAGCUCAAAAUUUGAAAAAUAAUUGUUAAAAACAGGGGGAAUGGCCUAUUCCAUGGCUUCUAGAGAAAAAUAAUGAGGGGUGUCACGGGGUAUGACUAUAUAGGUCUUGUAGAGGAGAAACAGGCGCAUCUUUUGCACAAGAUAUCGAAGCGCGCUAUGUUCAAAAAUCUGAAACUAGAGCUCAAAAUUUAAAAAAAAAUUGUUAAAAACAGGGGGGUUGGCCUAUUCCAUGGUUUCUAGAGAAAAAUAAUGAGAGGUGUCACGGGGUAUGUCUAUAUAGGUCUUGUAGAGGAGAAACAGGCGCAUCUUUUGCGCAAGGUAUCGAAGGGCGCUAUGUUCAAAAAUCUGAAACUAGAGCUCAAAAUUUGAAAAAAAGUGUUAAAAACAGGGGGGUUGGCCUAUUCCAUGGCUUCUAGAGAAAAAUAAUGAGGAGUGUCACGGGGUAUGACUAUAUAGGUCUUGUAGAGGAUAAACAGGCGCAUCUUUUGCGCAAGGUAUCGAAGGGCGAUAUGUUCAAAAAUCUGAAACUAGAGCUCAAAAUUUGAAAAAAAAAUGUUAAAAACAGGGGGGUUGGUCUAUUUCAUGGCUUCUACAGAAAAAUAAUGAGGGGUGUCACGGGGUAUUACUAUAAAGGUCUUGUAGAGGAGAAACAGGCGCGUCUUUUGCGCAAGAUAUCGA